UCCUCGGUGGCGCAAUCGGCAGCGCGGGUGGCUGUUAACCACUAGGUUCGAGGUUCGAGUCCUCGCCGGGGAGCCA
rnacentral:tRNA from 1 species